rnacentral:rRNA from 1 species
UACGUAGGGUGCGAGCGUUGUCCGGAAUUAUUGGGCGUAAAGGGCUCGUAGGCGGUUUGUCGCGUCGGGAGUGAAAACCAUGGGCUUAACUCAUGGCUUGCUUUCGAUACGGGCAGACUUGAGGUAUGCAGGGGAGAACGGAAUUCCUGGUGUAGCGGUGAAAUGCGCAGAUAUCAGGAGGAACACCGGUGGCGAAGGCGGUUCUCUGGGCAUGAUCUGACGCUGAGGAGCGAAAGUGUGGGGAGCGAGCAGG